UUAGUGAACACACUAUUGAAAUAAGACAAACAUUUGUUUAAUUCAUAAGUUGUGCAUUGGUUGUAAAAAGCUACACACCAGAAAAUACCCAUCUCUACAAUUAUAGCAUUACCUAAGAAUUUUAAAACCCCUGCAACUGUAAUGAAACUACUUGGAAGCGGGUGCAAGUGUGUUUUGGCUCCAAGGAUCACAAAUCACCAAAACUAUAAUUAGAUUCCACCUCCUUCCAACAAUGUGUUUGGAAGGCUUGCCAGAUGAAACCCUCUACUGUCAUCAAACUACAAACGACAAGACAGGUGGGGGCAUGACAUCAUCACUCUGUCUCAGGAGACUUUUCCUGUGAAAUUCUAUGAAUACUGGGUGAAAAUGGGUGAUUGAAUGGAUGGAAAGAAGAGGACAAUAGCGGCGCAGCGUGCGAAAGAACUACCGGUGAUUCACUUCCCGCUCCCCCCAAC